GCCCCCGUAGCUCAGUUAGGAUAGAGCAGCGGUUUCCUAAACCGUGUGCCGCAAGUUCGAGUCUUGCCGGGGGCGCCA
rnacentral:tRNA from 1 species